AUCAAAGGAGCGGCGUUUCUUCAUUAGAUCAGCACUGAAGUCAGGAUAUAUGUAUAGUUGGUUACCUUUAGACACCAGCUCCCUCUUCUCUCUGGCAAGAUGGAGGAUUUUUACCUUAUCCUGAAAUUGAGGAGUUUGAUCAGGAUGGGUCUUGGACCUGCUCUGUCGUUGUGGCGGAACGUAGGCGUGCGGUGGGCUCGCUCAAUGACCGGAGGAGUGGGAAAGUUUUCUGGGCCAAGUAACUGAGGAAUUAACUUGGACAUGAACCCCAGGAUAUCGCGGCCCUCCGCGGAUUCAGGAAUCCUCACAAAGCGAAGGUUAGAGGCUCGGCUUCGGUUCUCCAGGUCCUGGAUCUUGUCCAUCAGGUAGGCAUUGUCUUUGGUUAAUUCCUUAGUCAGCGUGCUGAGAUUUGUAACGUCGUCCUCGUUUGCUCCGACCCGCUGCUCUAGUGAAGCCACAUGUUCUCCAAGAAUGCCUAGAGAAACCUGAAUGCUGCACAAUUUUGUUUGAAUGGGAUCCACCUUUGAAUCUAGAUGAGCGAGCAUUUCAGUUUGGAUUUGUUGUAUUCCAUCCCAUAAAGUUUGUAGGGAGAUCUGGCUUUGUUGAUCAGCUGCCAUUGUUUGUGUUAUCCAAUGUUGUGCCAAACAACAAUAUGCAGGAGAGAAAACGGGACUUAAACACUACGAUGCGACAGAGGUAUGAAUAUUAUAAGUAGGAUUGUUUGUUGAGCUAUCUUAAGAGGGCAGACCUGCCUGCGUUGCACUCCCUCACGCUGCGACCAUCUUGGAUGAGUUACUAAUAUCCGGCGAAUAUCAAACAGGAUGCUAACUUGUACCUGCUGAGGCAGCAUGCUCCGUGCCUGUCCUUUCACAUCCUAUUAACUGUAUUUAUGGGACAGAGCCCGAUUAAAUCUGGAUGUUUUAAUAUGUUGGGUGUUA